GGUGGUCAGAAAAAAAAACCCCUUCUCCGAAUAUCUCCGCCGCGUCCCUAUCCGUCCUCUCCGCUUCCCCUCUCCCUCUCUCCUAGGCUCUCCCGAUGCGGGCGGCAGCGUCGGUGCCUGGCCCUCGGCACGACGGCGGUCGCCCUCGGCGCAGUGGUGGCCAUCUUCCUCCUCCUCCACGGCAACUCUCGCCAGGUGGCUGCCGCCGGCCGCAGCCACGGGCCCUACGUCGACCCCGGUGCCUGCAGUCGCCUCCCUCGAGGACGGUUUGGCAAUAGCAGGUGUCGCCGGUGGGUGCCCCUCCCUCCCCACCGACGCGGCCUGGUCCCGGCUACUCCGCUGCUCCUCCGUUGUGCCCUCCUCUCGGUUUGGUCCUUCCUUCCCUCUCUUCUAACCUCGGGAUCUCCUUCUCCCAAUGCUCGCAGAGGCUGCCUCCCCUUCCCUAUGGACAACGAUCUAUGUGCAGAUGAAUUAUUUGCCUGUGUUGGAUGAAACCCCUAGCUAGCUAUCCUUAUCUUUUUGGCACGGUUUGUAGCAGUUCCGGCAAUCUCAGGCGUAAAUUCCUCAUCCCCUCCAAGUGUGAUGACAUUGCUCCCUUCCAAGAAUUCUCUCAGGAUGUGAGAUUUGGAGGGGGUGAAUCUUUUCUUCCCCUUUCCUCUUAGCAAUCUAUAUGGUUAAUACUAUGGUUGUUUUGGUGUUCUGUAGGGUGUGGCCUGCUCGGUUCAACUGGAUCUUGAGAGCAGGCAGUUAUUGCGCCAUACAUCUGAGCACGUGACCAUGUUAAUGAUAUUUGUUUGAUUUGUUACUAUGCAUGCCUAAUGAUUUCUAGUUUAUUGUUUGGAUGUUGGUCACCUGCAGUGAUGAGUACAUGCUUUUUGUCUUGUUACAAUCUAAUUUGAGGGAAUGGGCUGGUGCUGUGAUGAUUACAUAUAAUGAUAAAUAUUCUAUUUACUGUUUGAUGCGAUGGUCAUGGCCUAUCCUUGCAUAGUUUACAUCUCUUCCUUUUUUUGGCAUAACUGAGGCAAUGCUCAUGAGCUAUGGUUGUUCUUCCUUUUACAUCUAUGUGCUAUAUUCAUGGCUGAGGCAAUGAUCGUGAGCAAUGUUUAUUCUAUUUUGGACAUCUCUUUGUACAAAGCCGAUGAGUUUGGCCACCCCUUGGCUGUAGCCAUGGUAGCAGCUUUUUUCUAGUUGUGUGAUCCCAGUUAGUGAGAGAUAGUAGUAUUUAUUGCCUACUCGCUUUGCUUAUUAGGUCAGACAGCUUGCCAUUGAAGUUAGCUUCGUAUGGUGUUGCUUGUCAUGAUUUCAUCCAUUCUCUACUUUGGUCAUCGACUUUGGUUUUCCAGUCAGACGUGCUUAUGAUCAUUGUUUAUGAUGUCAAUAAUCACAUAAUUGUGCAGUCUAAGAUUGUGCCUACUGCCUGUGAAGUGGUAAAUAUGUUCUUGUUCAUUAUAGGCUUGUGAUCAUUGUCUUUGACCGUUGCUUCUGAUGUCAAAUUACGAACUGUUGUUUCUGAGCACUGGCCCUAUUCCCAAAGAUUAUAUUGUCAAAGCACUUUGCUUGUCUGUGAUCGUUUUUGCUUCUCUUUCUCUUUGACUUUUGAGUACAAUUAUGUGCACUGCUGUUCUUCCAGCUCAGGUGGGAUACAACAAAGGUCAUUGUUUUCUUGGUUCGGAAGUUCAUCUAAACUUAGGUUUGUUUCCAGUGUGAAUAAAGAGUGGACUACAAUGUUUUAGGUUUGAAGACCUCUUACUCAUUAUGUUGUCUCCUCUUCUUGUUGUUUGUGGUUGGUAAUGUACAUUCCUCAUUUCAUUCCUCUUCUUUACUCCUUACAUACAAAAUCUUGUUACAUACAACUGAAAGUUAUUAACUGUACUUCUAUUUAUGAAUAUUGAUGCCAUUUCUAUUGUUGCAUCUUCUAGGUUUGCAGGACCAGUUCUAGUUUUCCAAGUGUCCCUGCUCCAAUACUGCUUGUAGCAAUCAAAGAUGAUUCAGUUCUGACGUUUUUUGCUUAUAUCUUGAAGCCAUGCGUGCUCGACAGUUGGGAAUUACUAAAUUUGAAGCAUGCUUUUGCAUGCUCAUUAUAAGCAUCUGUGGUGAGGCAGCAAAAAUUGUCGGGCUCUCUAUCCAGAAAAUGACUAUCACAGUCCCCCUUGCCUCCUUUGAAAACAUUGAAGAACUAUGAGGUUGGCUGUUCCAGCCAAAGUUUGAAGAUGAAAAUGAGGUGGACCAAUAGAAGCUCAUGUCAAACCUGCUCUCCUUACUUUCUCAAUGGCAGGGGACAAACACAUAGUUGCUCUCCAUUACCGUGCAUUCUGAUCUUUAUUAAAAAUGUUCAAAACAAUAAUGGUGGUGCCCUUACUUUUAUGAGGAUCAAGAAUUGGAAGGCGACAUUCAUUUGGACAAUUUUAUGAGCAUAUCCACCAAGUAGACGUGCUUCUUGCUAAUUACUGAAUUUUGAGACGAGUCACCAUUACAGACGAUGAGGCUUCUAAUGUUGCAGAAAUGGAUUUGUGCAUGCUAGUCGUAAUCUCUUUAUCCCUAUCCUUCACGUAAUGCUUUUUUCCCCUUUUAGUUUCCUAUUCUAGAUUCUAUAUUCAUUAUUCGGCAUGUAUAUCAUGGUGGUCUUUUGAAGCUAAACAAUGUUGUCAUAGAUCUAGAUUUUUUAGGUACAAGAAUAUUUGUAGGCACACAACAUUGAGUGCUCUUUAUCCAACUUUAAAAAAUACCGUAACCACAUAAUGCAUACCAUAUAUUGUUGUGCACUCUAAUGGCUUCUUUGUAUUACCUACGCUUUAAUUCAUAGUCUGAACUAUAUGUUAUAGACAAAUUCCUGUGAGUUUGAAAGAUCUGUUAAUUACUAUGCUAUCUUCAACCUAAAUUGAUUGGUAAAAUUUUAUAAUGAUCUAAUUGGAACUUUGUUCUAUAGAAAAUGUUGUGUGCUCUCUCUUAUCUAGCUCUUAGACUUAAUCCAGAAUGGUCAUGAAGAUGGACUGGUAUGAGCCUCAUGCAUGGGGGAAAUGGCUGUAGCCCUCAAAACUGGCUAUCAAGCGAUGAGAGUUUUCCUGCGAGAUCAAUUUCUGCUUUUUUCUGGGGAACAAAGCCUCAUUUUGAUCACAUUCAGUCAUCUCUAAGCUGUCUGACAAAAAGAAGCAUCGACAUUAGCCUGCACAAGUUGCUGCUUUUUUCUGGGGACCAAAGCCUCAUUUUGACCAUAUUCAGUCAUCUCUAAGGUGUCUGACAAAAAGAAGCAUCGACAUUAGCCUGCACAAUGCUGACGAUAGUGGCCAUGCCUUUGUUCCUAUGUAUUAGGUGAAGAGUAAGAAGCACAGGGGACAUAGGCUAUAGGUUAGUGACAUGCUUCAUGCCUCGUUUGUGGUCAAAGUGAUAGCUUACAGCUUACAGGGGUGACCCAAUAAUGAGCUGCUGCUACAGUGAGGUUGGCCUCCUAUGAAAAGGAAGAAAAAAAUUAGGAUCUGGAUGAGUACUUAGGUAAUCGCUUGGUCAUCUAAAGCUCCUGUUUUUUUUUUUUUGCAUUGUUGUGACGCCAUUUUCCUGUCUAUAAUACCUCCAUGAUAAAUUCAAGUUCCAUAAUUCAGUGUUACUUCUAGAUAACAUUGUGCCUAGAGCCCUGUGUGAAUUGGUAGUUUCUGUUUCUGUAGGAACUGGAUAGUAAAGCACAUGAAGAUACAUCAAUCUCAUAACUAAAUGCAGGCGUGUUAUCUGCCAAUCCACGCAACUAUGGAAAUCUCAUUUUUUUACCAUAUUUCAUUAUAUAGAUUUACAUGUGUCAUUUCCAUACAUUUUGUGAUGAUUAGGUUUUGUACCAUUUAGCCCUUGUUCCAUUUGAUUUUGGCCAAUUGGAAGAUUAUUGUUGCAUUGCUGUUUAGAUCAAAGUCUCGAACCAUCUAAAAGUUCCAGACAAAUUGUGAAUGUGAAGGUACAUUUUUGCUGCAGCUCAUGUCUAGGUUCUCCAACAAAAGUGUAAAUCACAGUUAUAAAUAUGGAAAAUUGUGAAAACAAAAUCUUUAUGUUUGCCUGAUGUACCACUAACCCAUUUAAUAAUGCCCAUUCUUGUUGCCGAAAUCCAUGGCCAUCUACAUGUUUGCUAGCCUAUACUUAGAUGUGUGGUGGACUAGAAGAAAGUAGCUGACUGCUAAACUCUAAGACUAAAUAUUAAUUGUUAAAUCCUCAAGUUAAAUAAUUAUAUAUGUUGUGCAUGGCCAUGUAGCCCAGUGCCUUAUAUAUACUUUCCAUGGACAUAUGGUAUUCCAUUAGAAAUAAGUCAACAAGAUGCUAGCUGUAGCAUUCAAAUCAUCAGCCUUGUGUUUCAGUCGUCUAUGAUGGACUCUGGAAAAAAAAUGUGUUUAUGUUUGGGUAAUAUUCCACAUUCCACGACUCUAAUUUGUUACUCAGAUGUUUUAGCCAUUAGUGAUGUCAAAUAUCAAAGGUUUGUCUAGGUAAUCCUAGACCUACAAGUAAUAUUAUGCCUUCUAAAUAUGAGCAUAUUUGAUUGGCCACUGAAAGGAUAAACAAAGGUUAAAAACCUCUCCGAUCAUUUUAGCAUCUCAUACAUCCAGUUCUUUCCCUUUUAAUGUAUCUUUUUCUGAAAUGAAGGUUAUCAUCAGCCUAUCGGGGAAAAAAGUAAGUUCACUUUUUAGACCACCAUUUCAUGAUUUAUGAAUGAAGUUAAGAAUUUGCUUCUUUAGUUCACAGAAUUAAUGCAGUUCUACUCUAAUCCAAAUGGAACCCCUCCUAUCAUACAUGUUUGUGGUUACAUCUACAAAAAAAAUAUAAGUACAACAAACAUUCUACGUCAUGUAUGACGGUGCGAGUACUUAUUUAUUAUUCAAUUUACCAAAUGCACUAUGAAUCCAAUUGCUCUGUCAUUAUACAUCUACUUUGGUACCUUGAUACUCCAACAUUUUGAUCAAAUCAUGAUUGCUAUCUUUUAGGCCUCUAAAUUUUUUAAAGGUUUCCUGUCUACUCUUCUUUUCCUACGAUCUAAGGCCUUCUAAUCAGGUUGGCACUGCCUAGAUUUGUGUUGGAUUUGCUAACUCCACAAGGGACUCUUUAAAAAUAAGUUCUAACUAUUUUAUAUUAUACUAUUUGUUUUUCUCAUUUCAUAUUUGAAUCAGUUUAGCAUCGCCUACAUAUGUACUGGAUUCUUUCUCCUCCAGGGAAUAUUGAGCCUCCAGUUUUUACUAUGAAUUUCUAUCAGUAAAUUUUGCAAACAUAUGCUUGCUUCCUAAUAUUAUGACUUUAUACAGGUAUAAAUUCACAUAAUCAAACAACUGAGGCCACCUCGACAUGUCAAACCUAUGUAUCUAUAGAUAUGGCCACCUCGAGGACAGAAUUUGGCAACAUGUUUAUGGACUUUUAGACCUUCUCAGUACUGUGUACGCUUUAAAAUACUUCUGCUCAAAUCCUGUCUAUUUUCUCUGCGUCAGAAAACUAAGUAUAUUGCUUCAAUCUGUUGUACCCUAUGUUACUAUUUUUGUGUAAUGGCCAUGAUAACCAUGACCUCAAAACAUACAGACCCACCUUAUCUGGCUUGUUCACAUUCAUUCCCAAAUAGACUCUGUGACUCUAAAUGCAAAGUAAACCAUGCUGCUUAUGAAACCAGCAGCUGCUUAUUACUUCA